rnacentral:lncRNA from 1 species
AAAAUAAAGUCAGUUAUCUACCUUCUGCUAAUGGCUGUGUUGUGCCUGUGUGUACAGGGUCCCUCGAAAGCACCUAGGGCCGAUCAUCGGAAAACCAGCAGCAGAUUUUUCAUAUUUGGCACAGAAAUCCUGGAGGGUGUCCUAACUCAUAGUCUAUUCAGGUACCUCUGUAUCUCUGUCCGAAAUGUGCAGUAGCGGAGCUUGAGAAUGUGAGAUGUAUGGGAUCCAGCCUCUGUUCAAGCAAUAAUGUUUGUGACGCUUUAUAAGUGAGGAAAUUAGAUUUUGUAUCUCAGCAUCUGAGAUGCCCUUGGCUGAAGAGCCAUUUACCCAUCAGUGCAGCCAGCUAUAAGUGUCCUGGGAAACAUUGUGUAUUUUGAGUUUAUAACCAUUUAAUUCAAUGUUUUUUCAGUUCUUCAGAGGAAGAAAAGAGACCAAACUUUGAAUGCAUCUGUUUCACUCUUCUCAUACAAUUCUUCUUUUAUCAAAUAUAAGGGAUAGCCUGAAGUUAUAGGAGGAAAAAUGUCUCUUGGCUACCAACUUCUGCAUCAGUGAGACCUUUGCUAAGACCCAGUUCCCGAGGUCAUAUUGAAAUAGAUGAAAAAGGCACAAAACUGUAUUUUGGUCCUCUGGUCUUAUUUUUUAGGUUGACAAGUAAACAUCAAAUAUAGAAA